GAUGAACGCUGGCGGCGUGCCUAAUACAUGCAAGUCGAACGAACAGACGAUGCGCUUGCUCGUUUCACGUUAGCGGAUGACGGGUGAGUAACAUGUGUAUAACCCACUUAUCUGACUGGGAUCAUUACGGAACACCGGCUCAAAUACCGUAUUAUCUCUUGCACCGCAUUGUUCAAUGGAGAAUGACGGCUUUGGUGUCUCUAAUAGCUGCUUCCGCGCCGCAUUAGCUAGUUGGUAAGGUAACGGCUUACCAAGGCAACGAUGCGUGGCCGACCUGAGAGGGUGAUAGGCCACACGGGAACUGAGACAGGGUCCAGACUCCUACGGGAGGCAGCAGUAGGGAAUGUUGGGCAAUGGGCGAAAGCCUGACGGAGCAAGGCCGCGUGGGUGAUGAAGGCGUUCGGAUCGUAAAACCCUGUUAUUGGGGAAGAACAGAUGUGGAAGUAAAAAUGCACGUCUUGACGGUACCUAAUCAGAAAGCAACGGCUAACUACGUG
rnacentral:rRNA from 1 species